rnacentral:rRNA from 1 species
AGAGUUUGAUUCUGGCUCAGAACGAACGCUGGCAGCGUGGAUUAGGCAUGCAAGUCGAACGAGAUUCGGGAUUGACGCAAGGAUAUUCCGAUGAAAGUGGCGAAAGGGUGAGGAACGCGUGGGUAAUCUAUCCUUAAGUUCUUGGGAUAACCUGCCGAAAGGCGGGCUAAUACCGGAUGUGAUGGUGUCGCGCAUGCGAUAUUAAUCAAAGGCGGGGAACCGCAAGGUCCUGUCGCUUUAGGAGGAGCCCGCGUCCUAUCAGCUAGUUGGUGAGGUAAUGGCCCACCAAGGCUUACGGGUAGCUGGUCUGAGAGGAUGGUCAGCCACACUGGGACUGAGACACUGCCCAGACUCCUACGGGAGGCUGCAGUCGAGGAUCAUUUGCAAUGGGCGAAAGCCUGACAAUGCGACGCUGCGUGGAGGAUGAAGGCCUUCGGGUUGUAAACUCCUGUCAUUUGGGAACAAUAGCAUGAGAGCGAAUACCUCUUGUGUAUGAUGGUACCAGAAGAGGAAGCCACGGCUAACUCUGUGCCAGCAGCCGCGGUAAUACAGAGGUGGCGAGCGUUGUUCGGAUUUACUGGGCGUAAAGGGUGCGUAGGCGGCCUGAUAUGUCGGAUGUGAAAUCCCACGGCUUAACUGUGGAAUGGCAUCCGAAACCAUGAGGCUAGAGUGCAGGAGGGGAGAGUGGAAUUCUUGGUGUAGCGGUGAAAUGCGUUGAUAUCAAGAGGAACACCGGUGGCGAAGGCGGCUCUCUGGAAUGCAACUGACGCUGAGGCACGAAAGCUGGGGGAGCAAACAGGAUUAGAUACCCUGGUAGUCCCAGCCCUAAACGGUGUGCACUUGGUGUGGGGAGUAUUGACCCUCUCCGUGCCGGAGCUAACGCGUUAAGUGCACCGCCUGGGGAGUACGGCCGCAAGGCUAAAACUCAAAGAAAUUGACGGGGGCCCGCACAAGCGGAGGAGCAUGUGGCUUAAUUCGAUGCAACGCGAAGAACCUUACCAGGGCUUGACAUGCAGCUGCAUUCCCGCCGAAAGGUGGGAAGCCUUCGAGGGUGCUGCACAGGUGCUGCAUGGCUGUCGUCAGUUCGUGCCGUGAGGUGUUGGGUUAAGUCCCGCAACGAACGCAACCCCUGUGCUUAUUUGCGACCCCCGAUGAUGAGUCGGGGAGCACUAUAAGCAGACUGCCCGUACAAGCGGGAGGAAGGUGGGGAUGACGUCAAGUCAGUAUGGCCCUUACGCUCUGGGCUGCACACGUGCUACAAUGACCGGUACAGAGGGAAGCGAGACCGCGAGGUGGAGCAAAUCCCCUAAAACCGGCCUCAGUUCAGAUUGUAGUCUGCAACUCGACUACAUGAAGUUGGAUUCGCUAGUAAUGGCGCAUCAGCUACGGCGCCGUGAAUACGUUCCCGGGCCUUGUACACACCGCCCGUCACAUCAUGAAAGCCGUCUGCACCCGAAGUCACUGAACCAACCCGCAAGGGAGGGAAGUGCCGAAGGUGUGGGUGGUGAUUGGGAUGAAGUCGUAACAAGGUA